GCUGUGGGGUAGCUCAAUCGGUAGAGCAUCUCGAUCUCGGGGUUGUGGGUUCGAGCCCCGCAUUUGGGCA